GAAAGAUUAUAUGCAUAUUGAUACUUCGAGAUACAACCCUGCCUCCAGCCAUUCACCUAAAGUGCUGUGGUAUUAGCAUUACAUUUCCAUGAGCUACUUUCCAUGAAUUAAAUCUUCCUAUCACUUCUGAAAAACAGUUGUCCCCAACAUCUACAGGGAAUUGGUUCUAGGACCUCUCUGCUCAAAAACCAAAACCCAUGGAUGCUCAAGUCCUUUGUAUAAAGCAGCAUAGUAUGCUCAUAUAACCCAUGCACAUCCUCUUCUACACUUCAGACCCUCUUUAGAUUACUUCUAAUGCCUAAUAUGCUAUGUAAAUAGUUGUUUUACUCUAUUGCUUUGCAAGUAAUGACAAGAAAAAGAAAUCCUUGCAUAUUCAAUACAGAUGCAAUUUUUAAAGACAUUUUUAAAAUUAGUUACUGAAUUCAUGGAUUUGGAACCUGAAAAUAUGGCCGACUAUUCUCCUCCUCCUCCCCCUCCUCCCCAUCUUCUCCCUCCUCUUCUCCUCCUGUUCCUCCUCCUCCCCCCUCCCCCUCUCCCUCUCUCCUUUUUGCUUCUACCUUGUGCCUUAUGCCUGGAUGAGUUUGAACUGUGCUCUUGGUUUAUGGAGGCAAGGCAGUAUGUGUUUUGAGUUGCUUUUGAGUCUUUAAGACAGGAUGUUUUAGAAGCAUUUCCAUCUAGUAUCUAGUUCCCUUCCCAUCCCCUAACACAGGUGUGGCAUGCAGAUACCUCUGGGCUUUGGUGAAGAGGCUGCCUCAGAUUUAAUACAGGAGAGAAGAUAAUUGGUGUCCUUGAAGGUCAAAUCUUUGGCCUUGCUUUUUUCUACUGAACUAAGAAAUAACAAAUGAUGAGGAGACCCAAGAAGUUAUCCCACUGUGCAGUGAGCCUGAUAUUACCCAUCAUUAUGUGUCACCUUCUGUGACAGCUCAAUUACCCCCAAAAAAUAAUGCUGAAAUCAGGUUCCUUCCUAUUGAUUCCUGCUAUUGGCCUAGGCUAGAGGAGAAGAAGUAGAAGAUGAAAGAGAAAUUUGCUGAUGGGGAUUGGCAAGGAUGUUUGUGGAAUGAAGAAGUAUCAUUUCUAAGACUCUUCAGAGGGGAAAUUGAGAAGUUACUCAGCUACUUUACAUUAGGUAAGGGACUAGAAUUAGUUAAAAACAUUGGAAUCACAGAUUAAAGGAGCUCCUCUGGGAUCCACAUUUCAAACUUCAAGCAUGUGACAGUGUUACUAUGGAUUGGAUAGUAACAAUCUCUGAGUAAUAAUGGAUACUGAACAUUCAGUAAUUAAGUACAAUUUGCAACAAAGCCCAUCUUAAAUGGGUAAGUGACCUCGUGUGUCUAAACAUGAUUUCCUCCAUGGUAAUUAAUCACAAAUUGGAAGAGACAGAGUGAGUCGGGCUUAGUCUUCUUCCCACUUUGGUUUAAGGCAGUGCAUAGCUCCUCAGUUUCCAGGCUGGCAUCAAAGACCACCCCAUCACCCUCAGUAUGGCAUCCAGGCAGGAAUAGGACACAGUGGAGGAUUUGGAGUUGUUAGAGUGGGAGGGACAUUUUGCAGACAAGAGUCAGUAAUAGCCACAACUGCAGUGCAGAUCUUCCAAACAAAAGUUGAAUAAAGAAACUAUAAAACUCAAUAAUACAAUCAAUAACUUAGACUUAACUGACAUAUAUAGAAUAUUUCAACCUGUAUCAAAUGGAUACACUUUCUUCUCAGCAGCACAUGCAUCCUUCUCUAAAAUAAACCAUAUAAUAUGACAUAAAGCAACUCUUAGCAAAUACCAAAAAGGAGAGAUACUACCCUGCAUUUUAUCAGAUCAUAAUUUAAUGAAAUUGGAAAUCAAUGACAGAAUAAAAAAUAAAAAUUACUCCAACACCUGGAGACAGUAUACUACUGAAUGAACAAUGGGUUGCAGAAGACAUCAAGGAGGAGAUUAAAAAAUUCUUAGAGGUAAAUGAGAACAUAGACACAACAUAUGGAAAUCUCUGGAACACUAUGAAGGCAGUACUAAAAGGAAAGUUCAUUGCAUGCAGUUCAUUCCUUAAAAGGAAAAAAAAAGUCAACAAAUAAAUGACUUCACAUUACAAAACUCAAAGUCCUAGAAAAUGAAGAACAAAUCAACAGCAAAAACAAAAGACAAGAAAUAAUUAAAAUUAGAGCUGAAAUAAAUGAAAUUGAAACAGAAGAAACAAUUUUUAAAAUUGACAAAACAAAAAGUUGAUUCUUUGAAAAAAAUAAAUAAAAUUGGCAGACCCUUAGCUACUCUGGGAAACCAAGCAGCCAACUCAGGGACCUUCCUGAAAGGAACACAGAAAACACAAAUCACUCCCUAGACCACAUCCAUCUAAGUAGGAAGAGUGUGAUUGAAACACAUCCAGAUUUUGCCAUAUCCUAGGUUCAUUACUUUCCUUUAAAAAUUAUGCUGAAUUUUCUGGAAUGAAUGCUGCAUUUCUGUUUGGCUUUGGUAAGACAGAGUGGGAUGGUUUUUAGAUCAUGGAACUGACAGAGCUGGGGAGACCUAGGCUUGGGGAAGGGAUCAGACAGCAGUAGGUCAGCUCUGGCUGUGUCAGCAAGAGAAGAAAGGACCACUCCCAGAACUGACUUAAGGAAUUCGAGAGGAGGAAGGCUAGGUUCAGGAAGGGGAUGGGAUGUGGGUGUACCUGCCUGAAGGGAGGCACAUCUCUGGUGACCUCUGCCUCUUCUCCCUGCUCCACCUGCCUCUCAGACUCACUUCCCACCCGCAGCUGCUGAGAACCAGUCUCUGUUUUGUUCUGGAGUCUGCAGGUCCAAGGCUUUCCUAUCUACAUAUUUUACCUUGUCUCUGCUCAGAUAUCCAAUGACUAGAUUCUCCUCUCUGCCUGUUUCUUUCUAAAUUCAAAGGCACAUGAGAUUCCUUGUUUUAAACACAGUAAAAAGUGGGAUCAACUAAGUACCUAAGAAUAGCCCCAUAACAGGGCUGAAAGGAGCUGGGAUCUUAACUUAGAGAAAGGAAGGGGAGUGGGAUGGAAAACAACAGACCCUGCUGUAAAUGUCUUGGGGAGGACACAUAUCUGUUCAUCCCAAGCCCCGCCCCACCAAGUGGCCUGAAGUUCUGAAGUCAUUUUUUCUUUCUGUCACUGGCCUCUCCUGGGUCUGGUGCCUGUUCCUGAUAUUCUCCUUGAAAGCUUUUGUGGUCUUGUCCAGGAUCCCCAAUGAUGGCCAAGGGUAGCCUGACCAUCCAGGUUGCAAGGGGUCUGUGUCUGUUUAUUGAAAGCAUCAACAAUUACAAAUCAUUGACAGAAUGAUUAAAGGCUGGAAGCCACAGUUUAAUUUUUUGCUUGCUAACUUUCUAAGGCUGUUGUAUAGCUAUUUGCUACUCCUUUACAACAUCACAUUUAAAAAUGUUUAAAUGUACCACAAAUAUAAUCCCUGUGAUGUAUUCUACAAUAAAACUGACAUAUAUCCUUUUAAAAUAUGUCUAAGAAAUCUGAAUAUUACAGUGGUUUUAUAUCCACUGUCAUCCUCUUUAACAAUAUGUGAGUAAAUGCUUCAUUAAUGUUAGAAAUUCAACAUUGUUUAUUUUGCUCCUUGAACAUAGGAUUCUCC
rnacentral:lncRNA from 1 species